rnacentral:rRNA from 1 species
GAUGAACGCUGGCGGCGUGCCUAAUACAUGCAAGUCGAGCGAACGGACGAGAAGCUUGCUUCUCUGAUGUUAGCGGCGGACGGGUGAGUAACACGUGGAUAACCUACCUAUAAGACUGGGAUAACUUCGGGAAACCGUAGCUAAUACCGGAUAAUAUUUUGAACCGCAUGGUUCAAAAGUGAAAGACGGUCUCGCUGUCACUUAUAGAUGGAUCCGCGCUGCAUUAGCUAGUUGGUAAGGUAACGGCUUACCAAGGCAACGAUGCAUAGCCGACCUGAGAGGGUGAUCGGCCACACUGGAACUGAGACACGGUCCAGACUCCUACGGGAGGCAGCAGUAGGGAAUCUUCCGCAGUGGGCGAAAGCCUGACGGAGCAACGCCGCGUGAGUGAUGAAGGUCUUCGGAUCGUAAAACUCUGUUAUUAGGGAAGAACAUAUGUGUAAGUAACUGUGCACAUCUUGACGGUACCUAAUCAGAAAGCCACGGCUAACUACGU